CGGUCCGGACGAGGGAGCUCAACGGGUAGCGCAGCGGACUCUUAAUCCCCAGGGUGAGAGUUCAAGUCCCCCCGGACCUACAA
rnacentral:tRNA from 1 species